rnacentral:rRNA from 1 species
UGGCGGACGGGUGAGUAACGCGUGGGAACAUGCCUAUUAGUUGGGGACAACCUGUGGAAACGCAGGCUAAUACCGAAUAAGUUCUACGGAAUAAAGGUGGCCUCUCCCUGGAAGCUAUCGCUGAUAGAUUGGCCCGCGUUGGAUUAGCUAGUUGGUAGGGUAAAGGCCUACCAAGGCGUCGAUCCAUAGCUGGUUUGAGAGGAUGAUCAGCCACACUGGGACUGAGACACGGCCCAGACUCCUACGGGAGGCAGCAGUGGGGAAUAUUGGACAAUGGGGGCAACCCUGAUCCAGCAAUGCCGCGUGUGUGAAGAAGGCCUGAGGGUUGUAAAGCACUUUCAAUUGUGAAGAAGGGUAUAAAUUUAAUAAAUUUGUACAUUGACGUUAACUUUAGAAGAAGCACCGGCUAACUCUGUGCCAGCAGCCGCGGUAAUACAGAGGGUGCAAGCGUUAAUCGGAAUUACUGGGCGUAAAGCGCGCGUAGGUGGUUUGAUAAGUUGGAUGUGAAAUCCCCGGGCUUAACCUGGGUCGGUCAUUCAAAACUGUCAGACUAGAGUAUGGUAGAGGGUAGUGGAAUUUCUAGUGUAGCGGUGAAAUGCGUAGAUAUUAGAAGGAACACCAGUGGCGAAGGCGACUGCCUGGACUGAUACUGACACUGAGGUGCGAAAGCGUGGGUAGCGAACAGGAUUAGAUACCCUGGUAGUCCACGCCGUAAACGAUGACAACUAGACGUUGG